AAGUCGCGGCUAUCAUGCAGUCGAAGGAUUCAGGGGCUUCGGUCCCUGGGUUAGUGGCGCACGGGUGCGUAACGCGUAUGCAACCUGCCUUCCACAGGGGGAUAGCCCACCGAAAGGUGGAUUAAUACCGCAUAACACAUUUGGCCGGCAUCGGCUGAUUGUUAAAGCUUCGGCGGUGGAAGAUGGGCAUGCGUGCCAUUAGCUGGUUGGCGGGGUAAAGGCCCACUAAGGCGACGAUGGCUAGGGGUUCUGAGAGGAUGGUCCCCCACACUGGUACUGAGACACGGACCAGACUCCUACGGGAGGCAGCAGUAGGGAAUAUUGGGCAAUGGCCGCGAGGCUGACCCAGCCAUGCCGCGUGCAGGAAGAAGGCCUUCUGGGUUGUAAACUGCUUUUAUAUAGGAAGAAAACGCCCCUGCGGGGGUAACUGACGGUACUAUAUGAAUAAGCACCGGCUAACUCCGUGCCAGCAGCCGCGGUAAUACGGAGGGUGCAAGCGUUGUCCGGAUUUAUUGGGUUUAAAGGGUGCGUAGGCGGCCCGUUAAGUCAGCGGUGAAAUCCCAGGGCUCAACCCUGGAACUGCCGUUGAUACUGGCGGGCUUGAGUUCGGUCGAGGCGGGCGGAACUGGUGGUGUAGCGGUGAAAUGCUUAGAUACCACCAAGAACCCCGAUUGCGUAGGCAGCUCGCUUGGCCGAAACUGACGCUGAGGCACGAAAGCGUGGGGAGCGAACAGGAUUAGAUACCCUGGUAGUCCACGCCGUAAACGAUGAUGACUCGAUGUUGGCGAUACACUGUCAGCGUCCAAGCGAAAGCGUUAAGUCAUCCCCCUGGGGAGUACGCCCGC
rnacentral:rRNA from 1 species